GACGAACGCUGGCGGCGUGCUUAACACAUGCAAGUCGAACGGAAAGGCCCUGCUUUUGUGGGGUGCUCGAGUGGCGAACGGGUGAGUAACACGUGAGUAACCUGCCCUUGACUUUGGGAUAACUUCAGGAAACUGGGGCUAAUACCGUAUAGGAGCUCCUGCUGCAUGGUGGGGGUUGGAAAGUUUCGGCGGUUGGGGAUGGACUCGCGGCUUAUCAGCUUGUUGGUGGGGUAGUGGCUUACCAAGGCUUUGACGGGUCGCCGGCCUGAGAGGGUGACCGGCCACAUUGGGCCUGAGAUACGGACCAGACUCCUACGGGAGGCAGCAGUGGGGAAUAUUGCACAAUGGGCGGAAGCCUGAUGCAGCAACGCCGCGUGCGGGAUGACGGCCUUCGGGUUGUAAACCGCUUUCGCCUGUGACGAAGCGUGAGUGACGGUAAUGGGUAAAGAAGCACCGGCUAACUACGUG
rnacentral:rRNA from 1 species